rnacentral:rRNA from 1 species
UGUUGCCAUGUGGUGACUUCUGCCCAGUGCUCUGAUUGUCAAGGCGAAGAGAUUCCGCCAAGCGCGGGUAAACGGCGGGAGUAACUAUGACUCUCUUAAGGUAGCCAAAUGCCUCGUCAACCAAUUAUUGACGCGCAUGAAUGGAUCAACGAGAUUCCUGCUGUCCCUAGUUGCUGUCCGGUGAACCAACAGCCAAGGGAACGGGCUUGGGCGUGUCAGCGGGGAAAGAAGACCCUGUUGAGUUUGACUCUAGUUUGAUGCUGUGCAACGACAUGUGGGGUGUAGCAUAGGUGGGAGGCAAGUGCCAUGUGAUCCCCACCAGCGAGCGAGAAAGAAGCCAGAAGUGCGUCCUGAAGCUAUCCAGAAUACAUGUGCGUCCUGAAGCUAUCCAUCAUCGAUCGUCUGUGUGCUUGAGCGGGGAAAGAAGACCCAGAACCUUUGUGGAAAAGGUGACAGGCUCCACCAUUAUAUGAGCCUCGAGAAUGGUGCGAACCAGCAAUGAAAUACCACUACCUUCACCGUCGUUUUACUCAUCGAGUGGCUUGGGGCCAGCGGCCCAAUUGGACAUCAGCUCGUGCAAUCCUGUGUUAGCUGCGGCUAUUCCUGCUUCGUGAAUCAAGCGCGGUCAGCUUGCUGGCCACGCGACUCUGUGGGUACUUCCAUCCCACCCUCAUCGGUGCCUCGGGACAAUGAUCAGUUGGGGAGUUUGGCUGGGGCGGCACGCCUGUUACAGGACAACGCAGGCGUCCUGAAGCAUUGCUCAGAUGGAACAGAAAUCCUCCGUGGAGGAGAAGGCCAAAGGUGCUGCUGAUGCUGCGACUUCCAGUACAAGUCCAAAACGUGCAAGUGUGGCCUUGCGAUCCUUUGGUCAAGUGUGCGAGUUCAGGAUAUUGAAGCCAGAGGUGUCAGAAAAAUUACCACAGGGAUAACUGGCUUGUGGCUGCCAAGCGUUCAAAGCGACGUCGCUUUUUGAUCCUUCGAUGUCGGCUCUUCCUAGCUUCCCACCCGCAGCCGAGUGGAAGAGUUGGAUUGUUC